GUGGGGAAUCUUCCGCAAUGGACGAAAGUCUGACGGAGCAACGCCGCGUGAGUGAUGAAGGUCUUCGGAUUGUAAAGCUCUGUUAAUCGGGACGAAAGAGCCUAGUGUGAAUAAUGCUAGGAAGUGACGGUACCGGAAUAGAAAGCCACGGCUAACUACGUGCCAGCAGCCGCGGUAAUACGUAGGUGGCAAGCGUAGUCCGGAAUUAUUGGGCGUAAAGCGCGCGCAGGCGGAUCUGCCAGUCUGUCUUAAAAGUUCGGGGCUUAACACCGUGAUGGGAUGGAAACUACAGAUCUAGAGUAUCGGAGAGGAAAGUGGAAUUCCUAGUGUAGCGGUGAACUGCGUAGAUAUUAGGAAGAACACCAGUGGCGAAGGCGACUUUCUGGACGAAAACUGACGCUGAGGCGCGAAAGCCAGGGGAGCGAACGGGAUUAGAUACCCGAGUAGUCC
rnacentral:rRNA from 1 species